CUUGGCUGAGUUAGCACCCCCACUUCUACUUCUCAGUCUGGUGCCCUGUCUCCUCGUGACUGCCUCUACACCGGCCGCUGACGAGGAUUUGAGCCACUUCCCACACGGUCUGGAACAUGUGGACCAACCUUAGUACCAGCCCAGCCUCUCUUCCUGCUGCUCGCGUCCGCCUGGCCCGUAGCUGUCGCCGGCUUCUGUGCGAGUCCUCGUUACACUCUUUGGACUUGGCCUACCUCCUCCCUUCAGCCGCCAGCUUCACCUCCACCCUUUCACAUCACGGACCUGGUCUCUUCUCUCUUUGGGCUCUUUCAUCUACUUCAACACCGGUUCUACACAGACUGGCUCCCACUACCAGUCUCCUUCCUGUGUUCAUCCUAGUGGACUCCGUCUUAAGUAUAAUCAGUACCCUGUUUACAACACAAUUGUUUGUUGUCCAGUAUAUUUCGGAACUUGUUCUGUGUUUUCCUCCACCCACGCAAGCUCUCUUUAGAAGCGUCCCUCACCCUGGCCCUAUGACGUCACAACCGAAUGGGAAUUGUUUGGUUGUGGUCUUCACACGUGGCGACCUCGCCAGGAUACAUCGCUUCUAAUGUUCUGGUUUGCGUGCUGGUGGUGGAUAUUGACUGUCAUCUUCGUGAGACAGGAUUGUUCCCCUUCUCAGACUCGCUGUCCAGGCUCAGAAUCUGGUGCCCUGUCUCCCCGUGACUACCUCUACACUACACCGGCCGCUGACGAGGAUUUGAGCCACUUCCCACACGACUCGGAACAUGUGGACCAACCUUAGUACCAGCUCAGCCUCUCUUCCUGCUGCUCGCGUCCGUCUGGCCCGUAGCUGUCGCCGGCUCCUGUGAGUCCUUGUUACACUCUUUGGACUUGGCUUCACCUCCACCCCUUCACAUCACGGACCUGGUCUGACUCCUCUCUUUGGGCCCUUUCAUCAUCUACUUCAACACCGGUUCUACACAGACUGGCUCCCACUACCAGUCUCCUUCCCUGUGGUCAUCCCAGUGGACUCCGUCUUAAGUAUAAUCAUUACCCUGUUUACAACACUCAAUUGUUUGUUGUCCAGUAUAUUUCGGAACUUGU